GAUCGCAUCGAGGUGUCGAUGCACGCCGAGCUCGCGCGCGGCGAGCGGCGCGCUCGCCUCGAGCGCGUGCUCGCGUUCGUCGCGAUCGCGAUCGC
rnacentral:tRNA from 14 species